CACGUAGGGUGCAAGCGUUGUCCGGAAUUAUUGGGCGUAAAGAGCUCGUAGGCGGUUUGUCGCGCCUGCUGUGAAAUCCCCAGGCUCAACUUGGGGCGUGCAGUGGGUACGGGCAGACUAGAGUGCGGUAGGGGAGACUGGAAUUCCUGGUGUAGCGGUGGAAUGCGCAGAUAUCAGGAGGAACACCGAUGGCGAAGGCAGGUCUCUGGGCCGUUACUGACGCUGAGGAGCGAAAGCAUGGGGAGCGAACAGG
rnacentral:rRNA from 1 species